rnacentral:tRNA from 1 species
GCAGAGAUUGCCGAGUAUGGUCAAAGGCGCUGGACUUAGAAUCCAGUCUUUAGUAGUUCGGGGGUUCAAAUCCCUCUCUCUGCA